GAAAUACUCCCUCCGUUUGGAAUUACUUGUCGUAGAAAUGGAUGUAUCUAGAUGUAUUUUAGUUCUAGAUACAUCCAUUUCCAAGACAAGUAAUUCCGAACAGAGGGAGUAUAUU
rnacentral:pre_miRNA from 1 species